ACAAAAUUAUCCGGAAUUCCAACCCCAUUUCACCUCCUCAAUCAUUCAGUUGAAAAUCUUCUGGUCCCCAAAUUGCAAGUGGGCACAAAGCAAUUGCUGAUGGUGAUAAAGACAGACUGUUUUGCCCACAAUCCAGAAGAAGAGCAGGCAGGUACAAAUUUUGGGUGAAUUUGUUGACACCUUCUAAGUAACCCCACACGUUUACAGGUUUUAGUUCUUUUCAUCCCCAAAAUUUCCCAAUUGGCAAAUUUGGAAGUUUCUGGCUUGGUGGAUUUGAGUGAUCUUGGUAAUCAGGAUGAGCUGACCAGGGUUUGGCGGCGCCACCAAGUUCGUUUGACAUCUAAUCUGUUGACUAAUUAUUUUUGAAUAAAAAAAUAAGAUAAAAUCAUUGAAGUUUUCAGUG